UACGUAGGUGGCAAGCGUUGUCCGGAUUUAUUGGGUUUAAAGGGUGCGUAGGCGGUUCUGUAAGUCAGUGGUGAAAUACUCUAGCUUAACUAGAGGGGUGCCAAUGAUACUGCAGAACUUGAGUACAGAUGAGGUAGGCGGAAUUGACGGUGUAGCGGUGAAAUGCAUAGAUAUCGUCAAGAACACCGAUAGCGAAGGCAGCUUACUGGGCUGUAAACUGACGCUGAUGCACGAAAAGUGUGGGGGAUCAAAACAGGA
rnacentral:rRNA from 1 species